rnacentral:rRNA from 1 species
UACGUAGGGCGCGAGCGUUGUCCGGAAUUAUUGGGCGUAAAGAGCUCGUAGGCGGUUUGUUGCGUCGGCUGUGAAGUCCCGAGGCUCAACCUCGGGUCUGCAGUCGAUACGAGCAAACUAGAGUGUUGCAGGGGAGACUGGAAUUCCUGGUGUAGCGGUGAAAUGCGCAGAUAUCAGGAGGAACACCGGUGGCGAAGGCGGGUCUCUGGGCAACAACUGACGCUGAGGAGCGAAAGCGUGGGGAGCGAACAGG